rnacentral:rRNA from 1 species
UACGAAGGGGGCUAGCGUUGUUCGGAAUUACUGGGCGUAAAGCGCGCGCAGGCGGUUUUUCAAGUUCAGUGGUGAAAGCCCGGAGCUCAACUCCGGAACUGCCAUUGAAACUGUGAAACUUGAGGAUGAGAGAGGUGAGUGGAAUUCCCAGUGUAGAGGUGAAAUUCGUAGAUAUUGGGAAGAACACCAGUGGCGAAGGCGGCUUACUGGACCGGUUCUGA